GACAAGCUGUGGGAAAUUCUGGACUUCAUCCUAAUGGCUUUGAAUGACAUCUUCUCUUUAAGUGUUCCUUGCUUCUUUCCUUCCUUCCUUCUCUCCAAUGCUGAAUGUUUCUUCCUCAUCCUAAUGGCUUUGAAUGGUAUUUUCUCUUAAAGUGUUCAUUCGUUUGUUCGUUCAUUCGUUCGUUCCUUCCUUCCUUCCUUCCUUCCUUCCCUCCCUCCCUUCCUUUUCCCCAAUGCUGAAUGUUCCUUCCUCAUGCUUGAAUCUGAAGUAAAGUGCUGAACCAAAGUGCUGCAGAUCUGGAGUGUGCAUUCUCUGCACUGUGCCUAUCACCCACUAGCUGCCUCGGCACCGUGGCUUACUUUUUGAUGUUCUAUGGGAUUAUAGCCCCCAUGACUGGGAGCACUUCUCACACACCAGCUCCUGAUAUCUGCCAGAUGAUUCUAUCUGAUUAAGUGGUAGUGAAGCUUUGACUCAUCAUCUGAUGGAGCACUACAAGGGGCUUCUGAAGAACUUGAACAGCCACCAUUUUAGUCAUGAUGAAGACGGUACAAACUCUGAUUCCCUCAGCGACAAAUAUCCACGCAUCUUGCUGGCUCUGCAGAUCCAAGUAGAAGAAUUUGCUAAUCAAGUGGGCAUUCUACACCUUAGCCAAGUGCUCAUCUGCACAGUUCAG